GGGGGUGUAGCUCAGUGGUAGAGCACUAGCCUAGCAUAUGUGAGGUCCUGGGUUUAAUCCCCAGCACUGCAA
rnacentral:tRNA from 1 species